rnacentral:rRNA from 1 species
UCGAGUCUUUGAACGCAAGUUGCGCCCGAGGCCUUUGGGUCGAGGGCACGCCUGCCUGGGCGUCACGC